GCGGGGCUGCUCCUGGAGUGCCGCAUCCCGGGAGCGCCCGGGCCAUGCGGGAAUUGCAACCGGGAACGGCCUCGGCCGCAGCUCGUCCCGGCCAGGAGCAGCAGCUCCGCAGGGUACGCCAGGGCCUGAUGUGACGGGACACACCGGGCAGGCGCUCCUGGCGGUGCGGGGCGGGAAUGACGCCGGUAACAUCCGCGCAGUGGCAGCGGGUUCCGCUGGGGUCAGACACCUUUUGGGUUCUGGAAGUUUAAUUAUUUGGCAAGUAUACACUGGAGUUUUUUAAUAUUUAUUUUAUGUACUUAACUAAGAUCCAUCUGAAAAUAUUGCUACGUCAGAUGUAGCAAAUUAGAUUAAAAAUAUUUUUAAAUCCUAUAUUAAUUUCUCUCAUACUAUUGCAAAUUUAUUGGCGUCUUGAUGGGCUAGUUAAGUAAGCCCACUAUAAUGGGGGCUUAUUGUUCAACACAUAUCCUUGAAAUUUAAUAAAACUUUGCUGCACUAAAUAGCAGCUGUUAAUGCUUUCUCAGUAUCUUUAAUAUGCAAGAUUCACAGUACUUUGCAAAUCACUAAAAACAUGACAUUGUUUCACGAACAAUGCCACGUUCGUCAUGGAGGAGCCAAGAAACACUGGGAGCAGACUGCUGAGAAGACAGGAAAUAAUGAGCUCGUCCUCUGACCCCAUUUUGAUGCCUCUUUGACCCAAAAAGCGAGUAGUGCUUGAUAGGCAGGCAAGGCUGGUAAUCGGGGCCUCUAAGGAGGUUAGAAAUUGCAUGCAGGAAACCUUAGAAUCUAUGUUUUCACAUCAGGCUCAGAAAGCUAUCCAUGGUUUCGAUAUUUACUGAAAUACACCUGACAUCUGUUAGAAAGGAGGGAUCCUAGCUGUCAGCUGCACUAUUCUGAGACUAGAGAAUACUGUACAGCAAGUACAUACAAAGUCUGACCUCUGUGUCAAAUUACCCUGAUCUUUCUCCCUGAAGUUCUUCUGCAGAGGUGGGGAAGAUUCUGAGUCUCACCACUGACCUUAUCCUCACCUUUUAAGAAAAAAUGUUGUGGACUAAUUAGGAACACUACUAAAGGAUGAGGUCUUAAUUUUCUGGAGUUACAGCCUAACAGAACCAAAUCUAAUCUUACUCUGCCAAUAGCCAACUGCAAAUCGUGAUUACUUUUUGCAGGGUUAGCAUCAAGGCCCUUGGCCUGAUUCUGCCAGAGCUCCAGGCAGUUUUAGGUAACUGCUCUCACAAUAUCAUUUGUCAGACCAAGGUUUUGGUUUACACAAGAUCAGAAGGAAAAACAGUUAACAAAUGCAUUGCCAAGUAGUGGUUCCAGUGGGAGCACAUAGGAAAAUAAAACUGUUACUAAAUCUUUCAAAUGUUACAUUAUUUUAAGUCAUUUCACCCUCAGUGUUCUUCACAAAUUACUAAAGUUAAUUUAUAAACAGAAGGAAAAAUCGUUGUACCCAUUAGUAAAAAAUGGUUUUUGAAAUACUUUAAUUACAGUAAGUAAUUAAAUAAAUUGGAAAGAAGCCUGUAUCCUGUAAAUGUGCACACUGACCAUGAAAAGUGCCAGGGUGCAUAUAUAAAGUCGCAUGAAAGAGAGAGGUUUCAGUAUUGCCCAUUGCCCAGGACCAAGGUCAUACCAAUUUAACACAGGACACUGAUCCUGGUGUUAGACAAGUAUGUGCUGAGGCAGUAAGCAGGGCUUUUCACAGCACAGUGCAUUUGGGACGUGCAGUAAUUUGGGACAUCUGGGGCCAAAACCAUACAGGCCAUUUUUCUAGGGUUUUUUUUUCUUGUGUUUAGAGAGCUAGAUUUUGCAUUUAAAGUUGCUGCCUAUUUUAAGUUUCUUGGGUUUUAAUACUUGUUUUUUUUAGAGGUCUUAUGCCCAUUUGCUUUGUUCUUUCUGAACUUCUGGCCUCUUUCGGAUGUUUCAAAUUUGGCACUGAAGAACUGAGAUGCUAAUGACUUCUGAUGCGGUGUGUUGUAUUGUUAAAUGUACCUUGAUUUGUGUGUUUCUUAGUGUAGUUAAUAAUUUUGCUUACAGGUAGCUGGAGUGGCCUGCAGCUGCUCCCCUGAAAUCUGUGUGAGUCUUUUAGCUUUGACGCCAGCAUGAGCUGGCUCUAACCUAGAGGCCAUGCAGCUGGCUUUUACCAUACUUAGCUGGGUAUGAAAUCAUUGUAUUAGUCAGAACAAUGAGGAGGCAGCAGCAAAGCUGAAAUUGAAGCUUCGGGGAUCUGACUCAUUCCGUUUCUGGCGCAAAGAGGUGCAAAUUGCACUUCCUGAAUUUGCUGCACACCUACCAAACCCCAAUUACAGCACACCCCAAAUGGGCCGUGCUGUGAAAAGCCCUGCUCACUGCCUCAGCACAGAGCCAUCACCUAAUUUGCCGUUGGCUGCUGCUGUUUGUAGGAUGUUAGCUGAAAGUUAUCCGUGUGUUGCUGCAACUCUCCUUACCACUUCUGCAGUCUUAGCUCACUGUCUCCCAGAGAGCCUGGCUUGUUGUAAUGGUACCCUGAGAAUCUUCAGUUGGACAACAACAUGACAGAGCAGGGCCCUCAUCCUGUCUGCUGGUCAUAAGCAGCAUAUUGUCUACCUGUUUUUUUUCCCUGAGAACUAGCAAUAAUAUAGCUUCUCAGAUGUGUUCUAUCUAUCUAUGCAUUCUAUGGAACUAGAAUAAUUUUAUUACCCCUAGUUCAUAAAAUUAUAUCCAAAAAAAAAACAAAAAAAAAACCAAACCACCCCAAAGCCUGCAAGCCUACUGUGGUCUUGCUGAAAGCAUAUUGCAGCCCCUUUUAAGUCACAAGCCCUAUCUGAGAAUUGUCAACAAAAUGCAGUGGGUUGUAGCUAUGUCAGUCUGAUUCAGCAGGUACUUGUGCAUGGAGACAGCCACAAGGUACACUCAGCAUGAAGAACCAGCCAAAGGAAAUUCUGCCUGCUGAUCUCUGGUGGUUGGAGCAAAGGAGGAGUUUUCAGGGACAAGUCAGAGAAGAUGGGAGACAUGUUUUUCCCUCUGCCUGUGUCAUUAUACAGAAUGUACUGGUGCAGAUACCCCUGGUUGCUGCUGUUUUCUACCCAGGAUACCAGCUUGCAGAUACUUAUUUAGGACUGUUAUUGACAGCUAGUUUGGGGGAAAAGCUGUUACCAUUCUGAGGCUUGGGACCAAAAUUUGCAUGAAAAAUAUGGAGGGUUUUUAGUUGUUUCACCCACGUUUUCCAGGCCACUUAUGUUUUGUUUCCACAGUUAAAAUUCACUAUAUAAGUGAAUUAGUAAAUUAAUAUACAUUAGAGAUUCUCAAAAAUGAUGAAGAGAGUCCCAGGAAUGAUUUUUCAUUAAAGGCGAGUUUGUUUUUCUGUUACAUAGUUAUUUACAUAGAUUUAUUUCUGCAGCAUGUCCAAGAUGCUCUUUUGACCCUCCCUGGCCUGGAAGACCAUAGGACUCCAUAAAAACAGCAGUGAUUCAAUCUUAGAUGCAGAACUGAUCAAUAAGCAGUGAGAAUGGGUAGUGCUGAUGUAGAAGGAAGGAUGUUCUCUCAAUCACACCCUUCAUCUUGCUCAUCUAUACUUACCUUACCAGUAUUGGUCUUGUAAGAAUCAAUCUAUUUCCCAUGGGCUAUUACAUUCCCUAUUCUAAUAUUCCAUUAUUAAAGCAUUUUAAAAUAUUUUAUUUCUGAAAUAAUUUUUAGGCAUUUCUUUAAAAAUUUUGAAGCAAUUUUGAAAUCUUGGCUUUGAGCUGUUUAAGUUGGCUGAAGGGACAGCUGAAGUUUAUGUAGUUCAUGCCAUAAGAAAAACAUCAAAAGAUCUUACUUUUUUUCCUAUUGUACCUGAAUGGAAGAAGGAUUUUUGUAAUGCUUUCAGAGAGGAAUGCCAGAAAACAUGUUUAGAGCUCAAAGAAUAUUGACAGUGAUAAAAUAUCAUCCCCAAUGACAACAACAACAAUAAAAAGACAAUGACUGUAUAUGUUCCCUUUUCUGUGAAUCAGAGCAGCUAAAUUGUGCACAGUAUGUCUUAGGCUAUUAACAGGUAUUCUCUUUACCAGAGCUAAUUAAUUAGGAGAAUUACAUUCUAAGUAAGGGGAGCUGAGAUUUGUUACUUUUUCUGUUUCUGUAAAAUUUUAUGCCACAGUAAAUCUGUGGUAGCUAUGAAGUUAUUGUAUUUGUUACAAUACUUAUAUCUCUUGCUAUUACUUUUUGAGUCUUUGAUGGCAUAAAAAACUGUAAAUGUCUCUAGAAGGACUCACAUUCUUAGUAUGUAAUGACAUUGUAGACAUUUUGGUUUCCAAGUAACUUCUCUGUUUUUACUUCUCUUUAAUUUCUCUUGCUUCUUCUUUUACAAUGAGCAAUGUUUUAGCAACACAGAGAAGGAAGCAUGCAAAAAGUACUCCAAUUUGAACAGAGACAAAAUACAAGGACCCGGAAGCUGCCAUUAAAGAUCAUUAACAUGUUUAGUAUUUCAUCUGAGGGGAAAUUCUCAGUAUCAGUGCAUAUAGAAAGUGUACAAAAAAACAUUUCUUUAAACAGAUGAUUACAUUGUUAUUAUUUCACUUAGGUUGCUAAUACCAAAGAUAGUUUGAGAAUGCUUUCAAAUGAAGAAAUAAGUGCAGUGUUUUCUCCAGUGCCAUCACCUGCUCUGUUGUUCCCUCCUCUAUGACCUUAGUGCAAUCUGUUAAACAGUAUAAGUGCUUAAUGUGAUAACUCCACAAUUUGUAAAAGGGACAGUGUUUGGAACAUAAGGAGAAAGUGGCAGGAGACCUCUUACUUUGAUGGCAUUUCACUGGUAUCUUGCUGCAUACGCUGAUCUCUGCAGUAUUUACCACCAGUGUGCUCAGUGAAACACCAAGUCAUCAUUUGUGCUUGGAUUAUAACAAAGCUUAAAGGUAUUUGCCUUUUACUUACAGAAGGCAGAAAAGAAACACCUCAAGGUAUACUCAAAACAGAACUUCAUGGCCAACUCUGCCUGGAGCUACUUUUGUCAGAGCAGCUGGAAUUGUUUUAAUUGUAGUUCCUAUAAUCAUCAUUGUAAUUGACUACUGCCUCUUCUGCAGAGAAGAAAAACAUGAUGGCCAUUCAAAUAUCUAAAAUAAAAAGCCCAGAAAAACUAUCAUUAUUCCUGGACUGCAAUUGAGUUUGCACCUUCUGCUACUUCUGCUAACAGCUGUUGGAAGACACCAUGAAAGCACUAUUUUACAGCCCUUCUUACUUUGUUAUUUGCACUAUGUUUUAACCCUGUGGUUUAUGGUCAGUGAAACAAAGAGCUGCAAACCAAGCUAUUCAAGAGGCGAAGACUUGGUGCAAUUACUCACCACAUGGCAAACAUUAAUGACACAGCAGCUAUUUAGUUUGCUGAGUUAGGUGAGUGAUCUUAUAUGUAAAAUUCUAACUUUCCACUUUCUAAGAAAUUAUGAUCAUCAUGACUGUAAAAUAAAGAAGAAAGCCUUGGAUACUCCUGCACAAAGUGUUUUAUGACACUGACUGGAACUUAAGGGAAAUUGAACUGCUUCAUUCCUUUAACAAUUUUCAUAUUCUUUUUAUUAUGACCCUACUACUAUGAAGCUGGCUAUGAAACAAGAUCAAGCAGAAGACAGAGUACGACUUGGCAUGUGAGAAUGCUGCAGGUUUGCCAAAUGAAAUCUAAAACAGGAUUUAUUUUAAAAGAAAUUAAAACCUACUUUCACUGGCAGUGAAAAUUAUGAUUACAAAGAAUAUGAUGAAAUCUAUCUGAAGGUAACUAUUAUUAAAUAGGCAAGUAACAGCAGUAAAGUAAGUUCCACUUAACAGUCUUUCCAAAUGCAAAAUCAACUUGCAGAAUCAAGUUUCAGAAUAGUUUUUAUUCUGAAAAGAUGUAUACUAUUUUUCCUUUACUCAUUACAUUUAGAUCAAUGAAGUUUUAUUACGAUUUUAGUGAACUACCUUUUUUUUGGUAAAUUUGUCCCUUUCACUGUUGAAUUCUGAAAUACUUCAAAAAAUAGGAGCACAAAUUCUUUUGGUUUACGUAUUUAAAGCAAUGAGUUCUUGAUCUAACAACGCUGAUACAUUGUUCUUGUAGGACCACUAAAAUUGCUGUACUUGAGGAAAGGACAUGCAUAUUUACACAUCUGGCUUCCUUACAUUCACUGUAUGCUCUGGAAAGUCUAGAGGUUGCCUUUUGAAGUAAGGUAAGGCUAAUUAAAUCCCUGGGGAUUUAUUUUGAGAGAGGCUACCUAGACAUAGAAAUAUGAAAAACUAGAAUAAUUUUUAAUUGAAAAUUUUUCCAGCAUUGUCAACUCCAGGAGACCCUUCAUAAGUACAUACACCAGAAAAUGAAUUGUCAGCUUUUAAAUGAUUAUAAAACUAAAGGAAAGCAAAUCUGGUGUUCGCUUGCCUUUUAAUGUUUAACUUUACAGGGUACGUUUGCCUUUAGCUUUGAUAUAGAUCUGUGAAGCUAGAAGUUAUUUUUAAAUAAAUGCUAAUACACUUCCUAUUAAUAGGAUCCCCAAAUCCUAUCCCAUAACUCUUCGAUUAGGAAAAAAGUUACAUUGUACUUCAGGGUAAAUUUCAGUAACUGCUGCCUUACUGUACCAUUCACUACAUAUUGACAUGGCAACUUGUGACAUUUAAAUUUGAAAGCAGCGACCUUGUCUAUGUGGUCUUACUUUUGGAGAUCUGACAAGCAGAUGAAAAAGGAGUUAAAACCUGCUUAUUUAGCAGUGGGUUUAGAUGAGCCAAUGAGAUCCCUCUUUGUAACCUGAAGUACAAAAAAAAAAAAAAAAAAAAAAAGGAAGUAUGAGCCCAACCACUUGCCAAUUUCUUCUGUGGUCAGGCAGCAGAUAAGCGGUUUUCAGCUUGGUCUUUAUUUUAGCUUAUUAUCGUCGUCAUAAGUACAGCACAGUUUGCACAGAGACUGAAAACUAAAGUCAGCUGAUAAUGAGUUCCACUUUGGAAUGAGCCCUGAAUUUUAGGUAUGAUGGGGGGAAAAGAUUACCGCGUCGCAGUAUAGCAGAGAGAAUGGUAUGCAGGUAAUGACUUCAGAAACAGAAGCAGCCUGAGCUCCGUGUGUGAGCCGAGCCCUGCUGCUGCCUGCAGCCGCCCAGCCCUGCCUCUGCCGCCCUGCGCAGCCAUGCGGGGCUGGGGGCUGGGCUGCUCGGCCAGGCCUUUCCACACGGUCCGGGGCCGCCUUGCUCGAGGGCCUGUUUAAGCCGAGAGCUCAGUGAAGAAAACGUCACAGGAUGUCAAAACAACACAGGAUGUCUGAUCUGUACAGUCACAACUCCUGAGCAGGUCUUUUAGAAAUGCAUACAGUUCAACAUCACUGAAUUGCUAUGUAAAAAUAUGAAAACAAGCUAUAUAAUGUCAUUGCUCCACAUUAGCAAUGGAACCUAAAAAUUACUCCUGACAAAUACUAGAAAAUAAAACAACUUGGAAUUAUUAAUAUUUUUUCACCGUAAGUAAUUUGAAAUCUUGCUGCUUUUCUUAUUUUACCCUGUUAUUCCCAGUGUUGAAUCAGAGCAGGAGUGACUAGAAGAGUCCUGCUACAGGGAGGUGGGGGAAAGUCCAAGCUGACAGGUGGAAAAAAGUACUGCCUGUGUGAAGACUGGAGUAACAUGGCCUGUUCUUAGUAUCACUUAACUGCAUUGCAAGUCCAGGACCAGAUUUAGAAUAACUGCAAACUGAAACCUGAAUAGUGGUGGAAACAGUCAUCUCUACAGAAUUCUGGUAACACAAGCUGAGUGAUCGAUGGGGUCUCUCUUCUGAGUGUCUUGUUCACAGGCACUUGUCCUGGCAAAAAGCCCUAGGUCCUGGAUAUCAGGAAGCAGUUCACAGUUUUUCCUUUCUGUGGCUUCUUUGGGGUUACAGCCCCAGGAGCAGAUGGUCUUAAGUUCAGUCGCUAAUGCAGAUUUAGGGUGGCUGUUAUAACAAUAGUAAUUUUGGUAUCUUUUAAAGGCAGAGUUUGCAGUUAAAGUAAAUUCCAGUUGAUAAACCUUUAGAUAAUACCAGAUUUUAUGCAGUUUAAUCAUAGUAAGAUGAUUGUAGACCACAAGCUAAGGCAAUCACAGACUUUCUCAAACAAAUAUGCUCAGCAUGUUAUAUUUAUCGAGACACUAAACAUUCCAGGAUCAUCAAAUCCUUUUCUCCAAUAGAGCUCUUCCUUAUAAAAGUAAGAGGUAAUGCCAGUAGAAUCUUUGUCAGGUAGGCAAAAGCUAAUGAGGGAUGUAGCUGAUUUCUGACUUUCUCCUUAUCCCUUAUGAGAGCUCUAAAAAGCUCUCUUAAGCUGCUUCUGCUUUGUUGUGGUUUUAUGCUUUAAUUGCAUAAUGCAAAAUACACUAUUUUGUCUCUGCUCUUCCUCUGCGUUUGUAAAAUGGACAUUGGUCUGUUUUAUAGUGGCAGAGAACCUCAGAGAGCAGCAGCAGCCAACCUGCUCACCCACAGUGAGUAACCACAGGCUAAGAACAGCUGAGAACUGCAUGCUGUGUAGAAAAAACACACAGAAACCAACUGUCCUUGUGGUGGUCCUUCUCCCUUCAGUGGAUUAUGAUGGUUAAUUUGUAUAUUCUCCACUGUUAAUGGAGAGGAUAUCUUCUGAUGAUUUAUACAGAGGAUUUCAGAGGUGGCAGCUGUUGGUGGUUAUCAUUUCAGAGAAUGUAGACAGAAACACCUUGGAAUGUAUCUUCAAGGUUGCCUUCUCUGGUGUUGCAUCCUCCCCCACUCCCUGGGCUGCACUAUCAUCUCAGAAAAACCCCUUAAGCCUCGGCCUUGAUGAACAGCACCUGGACUAAGCUCCUCUUGAGCUUGUCAGAAACUCUGUCAGCUCCUGUUUUUCAACGAAUAGCCUUGGAAAAUUAGUUUUCAAGCCUGAAUUACAACUUGAGUGAAACAACAUUUUUAUUAUCAAACUUUUGAAGAAGGUUGAUAAUUGUGGCCAGGAUGGAAAAUUACUAUGACUAAAGCCAACUCUUCUGCAACCCUAUAAACAGUUGUCCUAAGUGUGACCCUUUGAGCUCUCCUGCACCACAGCAGGCUGUGCCCAGCCUCCCCCCCUGAGUGGGACACACUUGGAGCAGGUGAACUCUCAAGUUGGCUGUACCUGGGGUACCUCUGCCAAACACUGCCAGUGUACCAAUGGACCAGUCAUUUGUGAUACCUUCAUGAAGGAUGUUCUACAGUCCUGCAGAGCUUUUCAACCCUUUCAGGAGGGUCUCUCAGGCCAUGUGGUUCUGCCCACAUGUAAAGAUAGGUUGGGAUAUUUUACACAUGUGGGUUGAGAGCAGUGAUUGGGCCUAAAUAGAGAUUACACAGCAUUUUAAUAGGGCAGCAGAUAAAUUCUUUUCCACAGGGGCUGACUUCUGCCAGCAGUAACUGCAAUCAUGUGUUUAGUUUUCCAAAUUUUAAUUCUUUUCAGGAGAAAGCAUGCUUUUGCAUGUAUUUUUACUUUUUAGUGUUCCUACUCAGAAAUAAAGCUGGCAUCAAGUAUCAUGAAUAUUCUCUCAGUGUCUUCAACUCAAAAGGCAACAGGUUUAGGUGAUACAUUCUGUUUUGUGUAUUUGCAAGCACAGUGAGUGGUCAGGUCUCUGACAGUGAAGCACUGUGCUUUUCAGUGCAUUUUUCAUUGAUAACAAAAAUCCUGGAAAUCGAGUUCUGCCCUUGCUUAUGUCUGCUCAGCCUGGCUGUGUCGACCUAGAGCCCAGGACCAUACUGAGUUCAUGGAAUUUGCAGUGAUGUAACAGUUUGAAAUUCAGCUUGAGAAAAAAACGAAAUACAUUCUCCACUGAGUAAAGAGAAGUUGCACUUCCAACUCCUCUUUAUUACUUCUCUUUAUUAUUACUUUCCAAAACAGAUUCCCUCGCAGUUAGAUGUUUCCAACAAAACUGGUUUGCACAUUGCUGGAAAAAAAUUUUGUGAUCGUGUUUUUUUGGUAUUGUUCUGUUUUGUCAGUGUGGUUCAGAACACAAAGGCUAUUGUUUAAAAAAACCAUGAAUGUUAAUUUGCAUUCCAUUGCUGGGUUAUUACACAGAGUGUGGAAAGAAAAAACAAGCUCUGAUUUAAAAAAAAAAAAAAAGGACAUUGUUUCCUUUUCCCUUUCUUCUUCCUUGUGACUGGUUCUCCUUUAUUUUAAUGUUUCUAGCCCAGACUAUGCUCUUAGAGACACUAACUGUCUUCUAGUACUUGUAGGCAAAUAUAAGUAUAUCCACAACUGUGUCUACAGAAUACAGUAUUUUAGCUGGGAAGGACCCACAACAAUCCUCUAGUCCAGCUGCAUAUAGAUCACCAACUAGAGCUAUAUAAAUUAAAAAAUUAAUUCUAUAAUGAUGUUUGUGAGCAGUGACACUUGCAAUACUAUUGCUCUUAUAUUAGAAGGUAAUUGCAAUCUGAAAAUUCAUAUCUGUACUAUUCCAGAAGACUCUGAGUGUAGUUUCAAAAGUAGCAGAGACCCCACUUAGACCACACUGCCACAUCUACCACUGUCUCUUGAUUCUCAGCCCUGAGCCACACGUUCCAGCCAACUCCACAGCACCAGUUCUGGUGUUCACACAGAAGUAGGGAAAUAACCAUACCAGGAGGAUUGGUUUUCUCCUGAGCUGCUCUGACUCCACAUGCAGCCUCACAAGCACUCAGCUAGAAUGAGGAGGGUGGGAGGAACAGGACACAAGGAAGAGGAAUGAGUAGAACUGUCAGGACCUUGAUGACACUAAUAAGCCUUUAUUGGCCUCCCCCACAGCCCUACCCAUGGGCCCAAAGGCUCUGUUUCCAUUCAAUACCACAGCCAUACCUGUGCCUGUAUCUGUGCCUGUUGAUCUGGGCAUUGUGGACUGUUCUGGCCUCAGACCUAUGGACUGACUUCCCAGCCUGACCUUGGCUCUCUCCUCUCACUGUUGUCCUGACUGGGGAUCACAGGGCUGGACCACUCCUGGCUUGACCUCAGCUCUGCUCUGGCAUCACAGACCUGCCUGUCAGUCACAGGGCUGUGUCUGACCCUCACUUGCAGACUGACUUCUCAGCCUGACCUUGGACCUGCCUCAUGGUCAUGAACUUGCUUGAUGAUGUGUUUUGACCCUGGCUACCACCCCUAGCCUGCCCUGCUCCCUUACUUCAGGACAGGAGGAGGGUGUCUGGUGAGCCAGCUGCUCUGCUUGCUGCCAUCUAUCUCCCUGUCCCUGGGGAGCAGCCAGCCUUGAGAAGGACCAGGCACUGGGAGCAGUGUGGUCUCUGCCUGGCUCCUACCAGUUUAAACAAAUUACAAAGCUGUGUUAAGAGGUGGCAGGCACAGAAGGUGGUGCCAGCUCUUCCAGGAGCUGCUUCCCAAAAGAGGCAGUCACACCACUUCCCCAGGCACAGGUAUUUGUCCCUACCCCUUUUCCCUGGGCCAGCACAAGUGUUUGCACAGCAAGGCACUGAACCAGGACAAACAAAAGUCAUGAAGUUGGUUCUUGAAGGAAUGGAUUUAACCCUUCACCUGGAUCAAGAACAAACACCUUAUGUUGAGAAGAGUGAUGCAGAUUCAGCCUCAAGUGUUUGUGGAAACCUGGAAGAUCACCAAGAUUAGGGAUUUUACUGUGAUUCCACCAGGUCUGGGAUCCCAGCAAUUUGUGUGACUGGCCUAGGCUGAAGUGAGCAAUUGUGUAUCUUCCUUUCUGUCACUACCCAAACCAGCUCAGGUAUUAAGGUGCUGCUGCAAUUACAUCUUGCAACUGACAAUGCAGAUGGAUCUGUGGUUGUUUAGACCUUUCUUAUAUAAGCAAACAAAGCAACAAAAAUAUUUAUCUAGGCCCUAAGGUCCUGGGCUCAGGGUUUACUUUCAGUUCUUACUGAACAAGGAGAGGGUCAGAAGUGUUCUGUGCCUGACUCUGCCUGUUCAGUUGUGUGAGGCUGAGCCCCUUUAGUCCUGAUUGGCUGUUUUGGGCUCUUCUACUGCUCAGCAUUUUGACUCUUCUUUCCAAAUGUCACCUUCUCUCAGAAUCAGCAUGGAAAUUAUGUCAUGACUGGUAUAUCUGAACCAGCAGUGUUCAGAAGAUGUUAAUUUAUGGAAUCCUCAAGGCACUAAGUGAAAUCUCCUGGAUAAAGCUCCCACCACUGACCAUACUGCUGGCAAGGAAGCUUGUGGUUAGCUGGAAAUGGAGACUGCAGCUGAUGCAGUCAUGCAGUUGAUUUGUUUAUAUCUGUAGUGUUCAGCUCCUAUGUUACACUAAUUUAAUUUUUAUGAAAUGAGAAAGAAGGGAAACUUUUAAUAUAAACUGAUAAGAGCCAGAACUGCCCAGCAAAUAAAAGACAUAUUCAGCAUUAGCAGGUAAGAAACCUUUAAGAAGAUUAAUGAAAAGAGAAAAUGGUAAUCACCAAUAAUUUCUUCAGUAUGUUGUAGAGGAAAAUACCUUUCAUUAAUUACUAGUUACUCCCUGUUGGAUAUUCAUAGGAGAGCAUUUUCUUUCUUCUGCUAUUAACAAUGACAAGUCUGUUAAGGACUUAAUUAAAAUAAUUUUUUGGAGACUAACAAGACACAUUUGCAUAAAGGUUGUGAUAGUCUAGAAACUGAUAAUGUUUGAAAAUGUAUCAAAUAUCAUGGAAAUUAGGAAUCAUUGAAAAGGCAGUCUAAAAGUAGUAAACCAAGCAGACAUAUGAAACAAACUACCAGUGUUAAAUAAGUAGCAAAUGAUGAAUGGUACAAAGGGUGGAAGAAAGGCAAAGGAUUAUUUUUGUCUGAAAUAGAGCCUCUGAUGCUUGGCAAAGAUGCAACUUUGUUGUAGCUCUUAUUGUGAGAUACAUUAAAUCAGACUAAGAUUAAGUGACAGAUUAAGUAUUUUCCAGGACAGUCAAUAAGAAGAGGAAGCCAAAACAGCUUUUAAAAGUUUGGUUGUUGUUGUUUGUUUUUUUUUCUUCCCAAGAGCUGAAAAUAUUGGAGGAAACUGGAAUAGUACUUGGAGAGUUAUUUUAACUGUUUUGUCCUCCUUUCUAUAUCCAGCAUGAUAUUUUAAAGAAAGUGGAUACAGUCAUGCUGUCCUCUUCUUUGAAGUCAUAAUUGAGGUGAAUAACACAGAUGACUGCUUCAGGUUUUGUGACCAUUAUUUAUAAUAUUCUCCUACUUUUAGAUAUGUAUCUGAGUAAAGCAAUAUAACCAGUAAGAAAUUCUUGGUGUUUAUGAAUGAUCUUGCAAAGGUCCAGUGAGAGUUUCAAAGUAAUUGAACAAGUGAAAGAAAUUUACCUGCUGCAUGUCCACAGCAUCACUACUGCCUUGCUGGUGAGCACUUCUUCAGAGCAAUUACAUCAUGGUUUUGGGAGUGCUUUAUAGUGUUUGUAUCUGACAUCCCACUUGGAUUAGUCUGUCAGCAGUUCUUGGAUGGGACAACCCCCUUGUGCACGUGGUGCUGGGUUCUAUUCCUGAGUGAAUCACUUAACCUCUCUGUCUUUUUCUCUUUCCAUCCAUAAAAUUAGCAUAAUAAUGCUAAUUCAUCACAGGCUAUAGUUAGGCUCAAUUAAUGUUUGUAAUGAUCUCUGAGAUUGUUGGAUAAAACAUGCUGUAAAAGUGUAUUAUUAUUGUUAAUAGAGCCUUUUGUACUUCAGCACUCUAACAAAGCACUACCAUUGCUCACCAGCUCCUAAAAUUUCAUUGAAACUCUGAAGGACUUAAUGGGAUACAGCUUUCUGUUAGUGUGUCCAUUUAUCUUCCUGACUUAUUCAAACCAUCAGAACAGUUUCAGUUCUGCAAAUGGAAGAGCUGUGGAAUUUGUGCACAGAGAAAUUAUGUAAUUUAUUUUGUAAGUGAUCUAGGACUGAAAGCUUUUUAAACAGGCCCUCAUUUACACUGACCUCAGUUCUGGCUGAACUAGUUCAGACUGCAGAGAGCUGUGAUUUGUAGAACAACUUUUUUUAAAAUGAGGUACCUGUCUGGUCAGGACAAUAAAUAGUCAUAGCUGUGGACAUCAUGGCAGUGGAAGAGAGUGGGAGUAGACAAAUCUCACUCUGCUGUUGGAGGAAAUCAUCUGGGGUUCAUUGUUAAUGCUCUUGGGUCUUGGUUACACAUGCCAGGUUAAAAGUUGGAAGACAAAGGCUUAGAACUCCCCUCCCAUUUGUCAGGAGCAAAGAAAGAACUGAAGGAACAAGCUUCACAACUGAACUAAUUGGGAGAAAUGGUGUGAGAUUUGCUGGCCUCAAAGAGCAGCCCACAUUUAGCAGCAUAUUAGACAGCUAAGCUUGAGCAUGUGAGCCUGAAAUGGAUUUGUUUGUUGAAUUGGUUCUACAUGUGUAAGAUUAUUUGGAGCUGUGAAGCAGUCAUCUCUACACAUGGAUUUUAAGCAGUGAGAUUACUCGGUCCUGUUAUGUGACAUUUUAUCAAAUGUGGGACUUCAAGUAUUUUCUCUUCUGCUGACAUACGUCAGCCUCCUAUCCCUGCUUGUUCCAGUACCUGCAUUAUUCACAAGCGAUUUCUUACUAUUUUUGAGAAUGAGAAAUGUGUGUUAUUCUCAUCUUGUUUGUUCUUGAAAAUAGGUGGACAGUCCCUACUAGAGCUUUAUGGAAAAAGAAAACCAACAAUAAUUGAGAUUAUAUUCACAGACUGGUUCUUCUGAAAGUCUUAUGUUCCAGAAGUACUGUGGUGGACCCUGGUGUGUUUUGUUCAUGUUUUGUUCACUAAAGGGUUAAAGAUAGAGGGAAUAAAAAAUACUUAGGCCUAAAACCGCGUGUAACCAAAACCGCAUACAAUCACAAGUAUAUUCUUGCUUAAUAAAUGCUUGCUUAAAAUAUCCUUGCUUAAUAAAUGCUUGCUCAAUAAACCAUAAGUUCUAGAAUUUCAGGCAUGACCACUAAAUAAGGAGAAGUCGACCAAAGGACACCUGAGGAAGACUAGCAGCCUUCAUCUGACGACCACCAGAAGGCAGAGGAGGACCCCUUAGCAAGAGGAGGACCCAUGCACAGAGCACUUUCUGGACACGUCACCAGCGAGAGGAGACACAGUAUAAAAGGAUUUUAUGUGACUCAGUGAAGCCUCUUUCCAUAUCAAAUCUCUGAGUCUGUUACUCUCUGAAAGAAAAAUUUGCUCCUUGCAACUGGAAGAAAUAGGUGAUGUGAGCAUGGAUGAGCUGAUCAACACAAGCAAGUUGUGCUGUUUUGUACAGAGAAAAAUAAAAGUGGUAAUAACUUAGUAAAUUUGGUAAAAAUCCAAUACCUACAUUCACUAAUCAUGUGAAUUACCAGGAGUGAUAAGAGACCGAAAUUUGAAACCUUUGUCAGUGUCUGGCAGCAGUUUAGAAAGCAAGUGGGGCCCUAGAUGGAGAGACCAUGCUCAUCAGUAAUUAAAGCACUAUUCAGAGACAAAACCACUUGUUAUUGCUAA